AAGGGGAGCGCUGGAUCCUGGGCUGUGUCCCUUGGUGCCCUGGGCUCCGGGGCCUGCACGGGUGGAAUUGCAUUGCCAGGGCCGCGCAGCCCGCU
rnacentral:pre_miRNA from 1 species